AUUGAACGCUGGCGGCAUGCCUUACACAUGCAAGUCGAACGGUAACAGGUUAAGCUGACGAGUGGCGAACGGGUGAGUAAUGUAUCGGAACGUGCCCAGUCGUGGGGGAUAACUACUCGAAAGAGUGGCUAAUACCGCAUACGACCUGAGGGUGAAAGCGGGGGACCGUAAGGCCUCGCGCGAUUGGAGCGGCCGCUAUCAGAUUAGCUAGUUGGUGGGGGAAAAGCCCACCAAGGAGACGCUCUGUAGCUGGUCUGAGAGGACGACCAGCCACCCUGGGACUGAGACACGGCCCAGACUCCGACGGGAGGCAGCAGUGGGGAAUUUUGGACAAUGGACGCAAGUCUGAUCCAGCCAUGCCGCGUGCGGGAAGAAGGCCUUCGGGUUGUAAACCGCUUUUGUCAGGGAAGAAACGAGUUUCUCUAAUACAGAGACUUAAUGACGGUACCUGAAGAAUAAGCACCGGCUAACUACGUGCCAGCAGCCGCAGUAACAC
rnacentral:rRNA from 1 species